rnacentral:rRNA from 1 species
AUCGAACGCUGGCGGAAUGCUUUACACAUGCAAGUCGAACGGCAGCACGGACUUCGGUCUGGUGGCGAGUGGCGAACGGGUGAGUAACAUAUCGGAACGUAUCCAAUAAUGGGGGAUAACGAGUCGAAAGAUUCGCUAAUACCGCAUACGCCCUACGGGGGAAAGCUGGGGACCUUCGGGCCUGGCGUUAAUGGAGCGGCCGAUAUCUGAUUAGCUAGUUGGUGAGGUAAAGGCUCACCAAGGCGACGAUCAGUAGCUGGUCUGAGAGGACGACCAGCCACACUGGAACUGAGACACGGUCCAGACUCCUACGGGAGGCAGCAGUGGGGAAUUUUGGACAAUGGACGCAAGUCUGAUCCAGCCAUUCCGCGUGCAGGAUGAAGGCCCUCGGGUUGUAAACUGCUUUUGUACGGAACGAAAAGGUCUCUCUUAAUACGGGGGACUCAUGACGGUACCGUAAGAAUAAGCACCGGCUAACUACGUGCCGGCCGCCGCCGUAA